AAUAAUAAAAAAGUAUUAAUUCAUACAGAAAAUAAAACAAAAAAAAACCCUUCUGCAAGAUAAAUUAUCUGAUUGGUUGAAAUGAGAUUGUGAUUGAAUUUCUAGGUAACAAAUGUGAAUAAUUAUGUACAGUCCAGAUAAAGCACAAAAUUCAAAGUAUUUUGAACAUCAGAUAUCUCUGUAAAUCAUUUAGACCAUCCUUAGCAUAAGAGCAGGAAAUCAGUAACCUUUAUAAUUUCUUGUUUUCAACUUGACAUGAGAUCUAUUAUUGAAGGUAGAAAUUUGGGAACAAGGUUAUAUUAAGCUAAUCUUUGUUCUGCCCAGACCUGAAGACUGUGACGGAAAGCACUCAUGCCUGUCUGUUUUUACUUUUAUUUCAACACAUUUCUGGAAAGUAACAUAACUUGUCUCCCAGAUGUGAACUAUUCGAUAUGAGCAUGACAAAUUCCUCUAUCAUAAGCAGAUUAUUAUUUCAUCAUCUUCAUCAAUUUGCAAUUUUAUGUGGAAUGGUUAAAAAAAAGUGCAUGAAAAGUAAAUACUGCAAAAGUAUAAUUCUAGCGUUUGGCAGUUCAUAAUUAGUUGAGGCUUUAAACUUAACAUAGAAAGACAAGGAAAGGAAUGCCAUAUUUUCAGCAGUAAGUUGGAGUACAGCAUAAUAUGAUAUUAACAUAGUAUAAAACCAGUCAGUAAUGUAAAAUGAAGAGCCUUUCUUCUACAUCAAAAGAUGUCUUGGCCCUAUACAUUCGUGAUGAUUUAAAUAAAUAUUGAAAUAUAAUAUCUAAUAUUAAGUAUGUUUUUACCUUGACUACAUGAGCUAGAGUUAACUAUUUAUUCCAUUACAAAUAUGAUUUAACAUUGUCUAACAAUUUUUAAUUAAUCUCAAAAUAAAUGUGGUGAUAACUUCACAUACUUAAAAUGAGAUGUCAAAGCUUCUACAGGGAAAUGAUAUCCACACUAUCAAAGUUUCUUUUAAAGAGAAUCUGAAUUCUUAUUUAAUGCUUAAAGCUGCCCAUAACAAAUUUGGAAACUCUUCUUCUGCUCUGAUUAUGACCUGUGGCUUGUGGUGCAAGGCACUCCACUGCAGUGCAACAUAGGCUAUCCUGAAUUAAAUUCACUGUCCUGUUAUGCUUGGAUAAUCUAUUGUUUACCAUACUGUAAUUUUUAUAAGAACAUUUACACUGGUUUUUAGAAGUUGCAAAGACAGCAAUGAAUAGAGAAAGAAAUACAGACAACCAGGAGACAAGGUGCUUUAUUAAGUAUUGUCUUUAAGUGAGGGAUUGGCAGCCUUUUAAAAAUUUCAGUUGAAAAUAUUUAUACAAGCUGAAAACCACAGACUUAGAGGCAGUUCUGAAAACCUUCCUGAAUUCUGCAGAACAUGGGUUAGCUAUCACUGCUUGACAUUAUUUUCUCAAUAUGACUCAAUGAAUUUAGAAAAACCUUACCAAAUAAUUAGUACACGAGGAAGUCAGCAGUCUUAGAGUCCUAUCUGCAUGUCUUGCAUAUUAUAUUCCUAAUGUUAAUCUUUAACAUUAAUAAGCCUCUGUGGCUUCUGUAUUUUUGUGAGCUAAGAGCUAGCCAAAGAGGAACUAGUCAAAUCCAUUACAUCCUUAUCAGCUACUGCUAAGAAAUCUCCAGCUGACCAAUAGAAAGGGGGUAGUAUUCUAGGAACAGAUCACCAUGUACUUGCACCAUAUUUUAUAUUCCUGCCUAUAGCAUCUGCUCAUAGCUUCUGUUCAGAGACAGAAUAAUAAGUAAAAAUGGGAUUUUGGCCAGUACAGAUAUCCUUAACAUUCCUCCAGAUGAUGUUCCUUCUCUUAGAAUUACCUUUGGAGCUUCCCAUCCAUGAUUUCAUUAAUUUAAUGCUCAAAAAUCUACAGAAAUGGAAACAGUUUACAGUGAUGAUUAAAGUCCUCUUGUUGAGAUGGCUGGAUAUGUAGAGCUAGCCUUUCCUCCUUUAUUUGUAGAGUAAUCAUUCUGUUAGGUCAGUGUUUUGUUAGAAACAUCUGGGCUGCCUUCCGUAUUGCUUGAUCACCAUAGAAAUGAUGGACAAUUUUAGACAUGAAGACAGAGAAAAUUGAAAAGCAUUGAGUAAGCCUUACUCUGCAAUCCUGUAAAACUUCCUGACAGUCUCUCCAGGCUCUAGUGAUUCUCUACAGGGUCUAUCCACACUGAACUAAACUACUGUACUGUGACACUAGUCUCUACAUAAAAGUUCUCCCACAGCUUGGCCCUGCUGAAUAAGGUUGGCCAGUAAGCAAGAGUUUUGGUUUGCUGAGACAUGGGAAUGAAAUACAGCUCUUUAAAUAUGUCAAGAGAAAAAAUAGCAGUGAGAGACAAUGACCUAGCAUAGCCAAAUCCACGGUGCGCUCGCAUCCUGAAUCCUGCUUGUAGGUCUAGUUAUGACCCAUCUCAGAACGGAUACAGCAGAACCAGGAAAGAUACAGAGAAGGAAAACAAGGCCUGUCAGAGGAAUUAAAAGGUCCCCACAGAUAGUAAAUGCAUGCAGACUGGGGACUAGGAAGUUAUUUUUUCACAGUAUUCAUAAUGAAAUUAUGGAAAUUAU